ensembl:snRNA U1 U1 spliceosomal RNA
AUACUUACCUGGCAGGGGAGAUACCAUGAUCAAGAAGGUGGUUCACCUUGGGCGAGGCCUGACCAUUGCACUGGCUAGUGGACUGUGCAGUAUGGACAGCAGCAGCAGCAGCAGCAGCCUGUUUAGAGCGGACAGCGG